GGCUGGUUAGCUCAGUCGGUUGAGCAUGGUGCUGGCAACGCCAAGGCUGUAGGUUCGAUUCCUGUUUGGUCCC
rnacentral:tRNA from 1 species